GCCCUGGCAGUCAGAGGCGAUGAAGGACGUGCUAAUCUGCGAUAAGCGUCGGUAAGGUGAUAUGAACCGUUAUAACCGGCGAUUUCCGAAUGGGGAAACCCAGUGUGAUUCGUCACACUAUCAUUAACUGAAUCCAUAGGUUAAUGAGGCGAACCGGGGGAACUGAAACAUCUAAGUACCCCGAGGAAAAGAAAUCAACCGAGAUUCCCCCAGUAGCGGCGAGCGAACGGGGAGGAGCCCAGAGCCUGAAUCAGUGUGUGUGUUAGUGGAAGCGUCUGGAAAGGCGCGCGAUACAGGGUGACAGCCCCGUACACAAAAAUGCACAUGCUGUGAGCUCGAUGAGUAGGGCGGGACACGUGGUAUCCUGUCUGAAUAUGGGGGGACCAUCCUCCAAGGCUAAAUACUCCUGACUGACCGAUAGUGAACCAGUACCGUGAGGGAAAGGCGAAAAGAACCCCGGCGAGGGGAGUGAAAAAGAACCUGAAACCGUGUACGUACAAGCAGUGGGAGCCUCUUUAUGGGGUGACUGCGUACCUUUUGUAUAAUGGGUCAGCGACUUAUAUUCUGUAGCAAGGUUAACCGAAUAGGGGAGCCGAAGGGAAACCGAGUCUUAACUGGGCGUUAAGUUGCAGGGUAUAGACCCGAAACCCGGUGAUCUAGCCAUGGGCAGGUUGAAGGUUGGGUAACACUAACUGGAGGACCGAACCGACUAAUGUUGAAAAAUUAGCGGAUGACUUGUGGCUGGGGGUGAAAGGCCAAUCAAACCGGGAGAUAGCUGGUUCUCCCCGAAAGCU
rnacentral:rRNA from 1 species